AACCGUGUUCUGUUCCGAGUGAUGUUUUCUCUGUGAUUCUAUAACCAUUCCUUUUCAGAGGGCUGUAUGCAGUCUGUGGAGAGCAGGAGUGCCCUGCCUGACUAUUGUUCGUCCAGACUCUCCCUGAUGGACCCUAGCCUGACAGUGACCUUAGAUCAUGCUAGCCGGCACCUCAACGUCGCACUGCAAGGAGAGCGACACCAGGUGGUUCUCACAGUGCAUCCAAGAGGCACUGAAUGUUACACUGGAUUACAGCCGUGCCUAUCUUCUGGCUCUUGUUGAAUGAUGCAAGUGAGAGGACUUUCUGAGGACACUGAGGAAUUUUGACUCUCAUUCCUGGUGGCCUGGGGUACAGAGCCUCAAUGAUCUUCCUGAACAGAUCCCAGAAGUCAGAAAGCACAAAAUAGGACUGCGCUGCUAGUUGGAGGCUUGUGUGAUGUGAAGGCAUAAGCGAGAUGCAGCCGAGGCCAUUGGGCUUUAUUGAAACUUCAAUUUUGGAGGAGGUCUGUCUGCAAGUUCUGUAACCAACCUCACCAGGACACUAUU